GACGAACGCUGGCGGCGUGCUUAACACAUGCAAGUCGAACGGAAAGGCCCUGCUUUUGUGGGGUGCUCGAGUGGCGAACGGGUGAGUAACACGUGAGUAACCUGCCCUUGACUUUGGGAUAACUUCAGGAAACUGGGGCUAAUACCGGAUAGGAGCUCCUGCUGCAUGGUGGGGGUUGGAAAGUUUCGGCGGUUGGGGAUGGACUCGCGGCUUAUCAGCUUGUUUGUGGGGUAGUGGCUUACCAAGGCUUUGACGGGUAGCCGGCCUGAGAGGGUGACCGGCCACAUUGGGACUGAGAUACGGACCAGACUGCUACGGGAGGCAGCAGUGGGGAAUAUUGCACAAUGGGCGGAAGCCUGAUGCAGAAACGCCGCGUGCGGGAUGACGGGCUUCGGGUUGUAAACCGAUUUCGCCUGAGACGAAGCGGGAGUGACGGUAAUGGGUAAAGAAGCACCGGCUAACUACGUG
rnacentral:rRNA from 1 species